rnacentral:rRNA from 1 species
GAUGAACGCUGGCGGCGUGCCUAAUACAUGCAAGUCGAGCGAACGGACGAGAAGCUUGCUUCUCUGAUGUUAGCGGCGGACGUGUGAGUAACACGUGGAUAACCUACCUAUAAGACUGGGAUAACUUCGGGAAACCGGCGCUAAUCCCGGAUAAUAUUUUGAACCGCAUGGUUCAAAAGUGAAAGACGGUCUUUCUGUCACUUAUAGAUGGAUCCGCGCUGCAUUAGCUAGUUGUUAAGGUAACGGCUUACCAAGGCAACGAUGCAUAGCCGACCUGAGAGGGUGAUCGGCCACACUGGAACUGAGACACGGUCCAGACUACUAAGGGAGGCAGCAGUAGGGAAUGUUCCGCAAUGGGCGAAAGCCUGACGGAGCAACGCCGCGUGAGUGAUGAAGGUCUUCGGAUCGUAAAACUCGGUUAUUAGGGAAGAACAGAUGUGUAAGUAACUGUGCACAGAGUGACGGUAACGAAUCAGAAAGCAACGGCUAACUACGUG